rnacentral:rRNA from 1 species
CAGCAGCCGCGGUAAUACGUAGGGUGCAAGCGUUAAUCGGAAUUACUGGGCGUAAAGCGUGCGCAGGCGGUUAUAUAAGACAGAUGUGAAAUCCCCGGGCUCAACCUGGGAACUGCAUUUGUGACUGUAUAGCUAGAGUACGGCAGAGGGGGAUGGAAUUCCGCGUGUAGCAGUGAAAUGCGUAGAUAUGCGGAGGAACACCGAUGGCGAAGGCAAUCCCUUGGGCCUGUACUGACGCUCAUGCACGAAAGCGUGGGGAGCAAACAGGAUUAGAUACCCCUGUAGUCCCUGUCUCUUAUAC